rnacentral:rRNA from 1 species
GACAGAGGGUGCUAGCGUUGUUCGGAAUGACUGGGCGUAAAGGGCGCGUAGGUGGUUUAUCAAGUUAGGUGUGAAAGACCCAGGCUCAACCUGGGAGGUGCAUUUAAUACUGAUAGACUAGAGUACGAGAGAGGAAAGCGGAAUUCCUAGUGUAGAGGUGAAAUUCGUAGAUAUUAGGAGGAACACCAGAGGCGAAGGCGGCUUUCUGGCUCGUAACUGACACUAAGGCGCGAAAGCGUGGGGAGCAAACAGG